rnacentral:misc_RNA from 1 species
AAGUCGUAACAAGGUUUCCGUAGGUGAACCUGCGGAAGGAUCAUUAUCGAGUUCCUGCCCUAACGGGUAGAAACCCCACCCUUGUGUAUGUUAUGUUUGUUGCUUUGACAGGCCGCCCUCGGGCGCUGGCUUCGGCUAUGUUGUGCCUGUCAGAGAACCCCCAACUCUGAAUGUUAGUGUCGUCUGAGUACUAUAUAAUAGUUAAAACUUUCAACAACGGAUCUCUUGGUUCUG